AGAGUUUGAUCAUGGCUCAGGAUGAACGCUGGCGGUAUGCCUAACACAUGCAAGUCGAACGAUGUCUUCGGACAUAGUGGCGGACGGGUGAGUAACGCGUGAGAAUCUGCCUCUAGGAUGGGGAUAACGGUUGGAAACGACCGCUAACACCCAAUAUGCCGUAAGGUGAAAAAUUUAUUGCCUGGAGAGGAGCUCGCGUCUGAUUAGCUAGUUGGUGGGGUAAGAGCUCACCAAGGCCUCGAUCAGUAGCUGGUCUGAGAGGAUGAGCAGCCACACUGGGACUGAGACACGGCCCAGACUCCUACGGGAGGCAGCAGUGGGGAAUUUUCCGCAAUGGGCGAAAGCCUGACGGAGCAAUACCGCGUGAGGGAGGAAUGCCUUUGGGUUGUAAACCUCUUUUCUCAGGGAAGAAGAUCUGACGGUACCUGAGGAAUAAGUAUCGGCUAACUCCGUGCCAGCAGCCGCGGUAAUACGGAGGAUGCAAGCGUUAUCCGGAAUCAUUGGGCGUAAAGCGUCCGCAGGUGGUUUCCAAAGUCUGCUGUUAAAGACUGGAGCUCAACUCCGGAACGGCGGUGGAAACUUGGAAACUAGAGUUCGGUAGGGGUAGCAGGAAUUCCCAGUGUAGCGGUGAAAUGCGUAGAUAUUGGGAAGAACAUCGGUGGCGAAGGCGUGCUACUGGACCGUAACUGACACUCAGGGACGAAAGCUAGGGGAGCGAAAGGGAUUAGAUACCCCUGUAGUCCUAGCUGUAAACGAUGGAAA
rnacentral:rRNA from 1 species